rnacentral:rRNA from 2 species
ACACGUGGGAAAUCUGCCCAGAAGCAGGGGAUAACACUUGGAAACAGGUGCUAAUACCGUAUAACAACAAAAUCCGCAUGGAUUUUGUUUGAAAGGUGGCUUCGGCUAUCACUUCUGGAUGAUCCCGCGGCGUAUUAGUUAGUUGGUGAGGUAAAGGCCCACCAAGACGAUGAUACGUAGCCGACCUGAGAGGGUAAUCGGCCACAUUGGGACUGAGACACGGCCCAAACUCCUACGGGAGGCAGCAGUAGGGAAUCUUCCACAAUGGACGAAAGUCUGAUGGAGCAAUGCCGCGUGAGUGAAGAAGGGUUUCGGCUCGUAAAACUCUGUUGUUAAAGAAGAACACCUUUGAGAGUAACUGUUCAAGGGUUGACGGUAUUUAACCAGAAAGCCACGGCUAACUACGUGCCAGCAGCCGCGGUAAUACGUAGGUGGCAAGCGUUGUCCGGAUUUAUUGGGCGUAAAGCGAGCGCAGGCGGUUUUUUAAGUCUGAUGUGAAAGCCUUCGGCUUAACCGGAGAAGUGCAUCGGAAACUGGGAGACUUGAGUGCAGAAGAGGACAGUGGAACUCCAUGUGUAGCGGUGGAAUGCGUAGAUAUAU